UGGGGAAUAUUGGACAAUGGGCGAAAGCCUGAUCCAGCAAUGCCGCGUGAGUGAUGAAGGCCUUAGGGUUGUAAAGCUCUUUUACCCGGGAUGAUAAUGACAGUACCGGGAGAAUAAGCUCCGGCUAACUCCGUGCCAGCAGCCGCGGUAAUACGGAGGGAGCUAGCGUUGUUCGGAUAUACUGGGCGUAAAGCGCACGUAGGCGGCGCAGCAAGUCAGGGGUGAAAUCCCGGGGCUCAACCCCGGAACUGCCCUUGAAACUGCAGUGCUAGAAUUCUGGAGAGGCGAGUGGAAUUCCGAGUGUAGAGGUGAAAUUCGUAGAUAUUCGGAAGAACACCAGUGGCGAAGGCGACUCGCUGGACAGACAUUGACGCUGAGGUGCGAAAGCGUGGGGAGCAAACAGG
rnacentral:rRNA from 1 species